rnacentral:SRP_RNA from 1 species
GAGCAACACGCCGCCGCAGCUCCCAACGUGGUCAGGGCUGGCAGGAAGC